CACAAUAGAUAGGUUCCAGUAGGGGUAUUCAACAUUUUAACUUACUGCUGCGAAAACGGACCUGAAUUCUGCUUGCAGGGAUCAUAAUAUUCGUAAAAAUGUGGAGGAACACUGUAGUUUGUACCAAAUUCUGAAGCUAAAUGUCCGCCGUAGCUUCGUGUAGGAUGCUUUCUUCAUAGAAGCAUAGAGAAGUGGGACUGGUGAUAGGCUGUACCACUGAACAAAUUCUUAAUGGCUGUUGAUGAAUGCGGCGACAUCAAGGAACAUUUUGGGUCCCACCUUAGCCUGAUUCAGGAGAGCGAAUGUAUGUAUCCCUUCCUCAUAGAAAAUCGUUUGCACCUGCUUUCCAGCUUUCUGCAAACCCUCCGCAAAUCGCAUCUGCCGUAAACAGUCAAUGAACAAUCAGGACAUAAAACAAAAACAAAACAAGAAGCUAUGCUCGUGGCUCCUAGAAGCAGAGGAAAUAAAGGAUAAAAGUUCAUAUGACUUCUAAAAUUUCAGGGAUCAAUUCUGCAGUUUCUCAACCUUACUAGACAUUGAAGAAUAAUUACCCACAAUGGCUAGAUUAAGAAAGGGUCGGUUAGUUGUAGCAUGUACUCAUAACAAUCAUAGAGCUUCUACCAUUCCUCAACUCGUCGCAAGUGAAGUUACAGGCAGAACUGAUCUGGAGGCAGAGUUGGGUGGAGAAAAACAGUAAACUGAAAUUGCUAACCUCCCAAUCUUGUAAGAUAUCCAAACCGCCGACAAUGUUAAGAAAUGGGGGCAAGGAAACAUCAGACAAGUCCGAGGAGUUGGGCCCGAAAAUGUUGCAGGCUGGGUGGUCUCGAUUGGAGCCUUUAGGCAAGUAAGACUUCCAGUACCAAUCCAAGCUCUCCACAGAAACCAACGGAACGUUCUUGAGGCGAAGCUCAGCUGGUGUCCUCUCCUCCCCACCAAAGAAGCCCUGAAUUAUCACCACACCCUUAAGACUCACGCGACCCAAGUCCUUUCUGGCUGAUUGCAGAGCCAUGUGAUAGGCUAUGUUAGCGCCAGCACUGUCUCCACACAGAAAUACCCGGGAGAAAUCCACGUUUAGAGGAAGAGAUGCGGUUGCUUUCUCCGAUUGAAGCCACUCGAGGCCUUUGAACGAGUCAUCGUAUGCCGUGGGGAACUUAAAUUCGGGUGCUCGCCUGCACAAGACGUUCAAUCACUUCCGUCAUUUAUUGACUUGAAGCCAAAAAACAGAAUUACAGUUCUCGAUAUUCACCAACUUAUCCACUUCAAAUAUCAUUUCCUGUGAAGUGAUUAGAUUUACUGAAUUUUCUGUGAGGAAAUCAGUAUGAAGAGGCAGAGAAAAACACAUCAGAAGAUCCGAACGCUG
rnacentral:lncRNA from 1 species